CAUGAUAAUCCAUUCCAAAUAUCAAAAUUUUGUUAUUUUGUUGGUAUACUUCUUUCUUUGUUUGUUUCUUUGUUAUUUGUUUAUUAGUCUGUCUCUUAUUUUUGUUUGUUUGUGUGUUUUUGUUUGUUUGUGUGCUUUUGUUUGUUUGUGUGUUUUUGUUUGUUUGUGUUUUUUUGUUUGUUUGUUCUUUUGUUUAUUUGUCUGCUUGAUUCUUUGUCUGCUUUUUUUUGUUUUUGGUUUGUUUGUUGGUUGGUUGGUUGUAUGUUUGUUUGUUUGCUUGUUUGUUAUUUUGAAAGUCUGUUUGUUUGUUUGUUUGUUUUUUUGUUUGUUUGUUUGUCUGUUUGUCUGUUUUUUUUGUUUGUUUGUUUGUCUGUUUGUCUGUUUUUUUUGUUGGUUUGUUUGUUUGUUAUUCGCUUUCUUCGUUUUAUCUGCUGGUUGUUAGUUUGCUAAUAUAUUUGUUUGAUUGUUUUUUUGUUUUUUGUUACCUAAUUUGUUAAUUUUUCCGUUUGUGUAUCUGUCAGUCUGUUUGUCUUUUUAUUUGUUGUGUUUUUCUUUCUAUAUUUCUUUGUUCGUUAGUUUGAUUGUUAGUCUAUUUGUCUGUCUGUUUGUUUGUUUAUUUGUCUGUCUAUAAUGUUGUUUGUAUUUGUCAUUUUUAGAUUGUUUGUAUAUUUGUUAUCUUAUUUGUUUAUUUGCUUGCUUGUUUGUCUGUCAGUUUGUUUGUUUGUUUGCAGAUAUGUUGGUAGUUUGUUCAUUUUCAAGGUUGUUUGUUUGUUUUGUUUUGUCUUGGUUUAGUUGUUUGAUUGUUGUUUAUUUGUUCCUUUGUUUGUUUGUCUGUCAGUUUUUGUUUUUUUGUCUGUUUGUUUGUUAAUUUUUUCAGUUUUUUUCUGGUCUGUCAAUUUGUUUGUUUAUGUGAUUGUAGCAAGUUUGUCUGUUAGUUAGUUUGUUUGUUUGUAGCAAUUCUUCACACCACCGAUGUCAUUUGUCUCGUCCAUUCUCUAUGUUUAAACGAUUGUUCUUGGGGAACUCGAGAAAAAGUCAAGCAAGACCCAAAAAAUAAGGAUAUUUGGUCGGCCUUGCGAUAUUUCAUGAAUAUAUUAAGAUAUGUGUGUGGUUGUUGCACUGGAUGUCAUCCACCGACCUCGGACGAGUCUUCACAACAGAAUCCACAACCUCCGAAAGAUGGACAUGAGAAUGACAACGCGGAAGGUAACGGAAAUCCUUCGGAUUCGUCUUCGUCAGCACAACAAGCUGAAAGCGAAAAUCAAGCUGCACCUGCAAGAUGCUAUAGGACUUUUCUACUCGGGGCGAGGUUAUUGCCUAAGGCAAAGUCAUCUUAUUUCACCCUAAUCAUACAAUAAGCAAUUUAUGCAAUGGUCACGUGACGUGCUCGUGACCAUAGUAGCUGAACGUCACGUGAUCACUGUAUAAUAGCAGAUAUUGUAUGUUAACUGGAAACAAUUGUAGUGGGUAUUCCCAUCAGAAGAUUUCUUAACAAAAUCGGUGUUAUGGUAAUAGGUCAUGUUAUUAGCAAUGCAUAGCUUGUUAACUAAAAUAAUUGGUUCAACGUCCAUACAUAUAACUUGAUGUCUACGCUCAAAAGUUUGAAACUGCAGGAUAUCCCGACACCUCAUCUUUUAUCGAAAUUCAGGGAGAGGUAAGCUUAUAAACCUAUGUGAAGCAACAUGCAGUAAUAUUCUGACUUCCUACUUAAUGCCACAAAGAAAUGAAAUUUAUUGUUGUCUAUUUCUAUGCAAAGGAGAUCAAAUUUGCACUGGGAGUGCAAAAAGCUGAUCUUGUUCAGCGAAUAAUCCGGGCGAUUGACGAGCUACCUGACACAUCUGUACCACUAGGCGUUCCCAAUAACGUAUCUGAUUGGUUAAAGUCGCUUGGUCUAUCUCAGUACCAACAACAGUUUGUAGAAGCUGGAUACGAAGGAAGAAGUGACAUAGUCAAUCUGGUCUCUCUAAAUCAAGAUAUUUUGAAAAAUGAAAUCGGCGUAACCAAGCCAGACGUACUAUUUGUUAGGACAUUUGAAAAAGCUACAAAUGGCCUUGGAAAAUGUCAAGCAUUCAACUAAUCGUGAAAUGGCAACACGCCAAGUAAAGAGUGUCAUCGAUGACUUACACAAACGAAGCAUGGCUGCCAGCCCAGAGAGAUAGGCAGAGAAUAUCUUUUGGAAUAAACUAAAAACAACCUGCUUAGAACCAGAAUCAGAAAUGUACGAAAUGGUGGAUGAAAUGAAGGAAAACCUAAAAGAACUUCGUGACCAGAUGGUUUUGUGUUUGCUGUGAUAAGCAUCAUUUGGAUAGUCUCGUUACCAUACUUGGCUUUCACGCCAAAUUGUCGGUUCUGCACACCAACGUUCUUGGCCUCGCUUUCCUAGCUGUGUACGGGAUCAUUUUUCUUGUUUAGUUCAUCUGCCUCAUUUGUCAUCGCAUCGUUACUGUUAUUCACUAUCUGGCUCACCGCGAUCAUUCUUCUAGUGAAACGGGUGUUGGAUCUGAAAUGGAAGAAGACGGUGAGUAUGAUGAGAUCGAUUACGAAGAAUCUGAAAUUGGUGUUCCUGGGGAACGAAGUCAGUCCAAAUUGAAAGAGCUAAUGCCACUGAUCGAUUCCGGAACAAUAAAGAGAUACUCCUAGGACGUCAAGUGGACGAUGAAAUGUAUACUAUAGUCAUUAAUUCAAUGCACGUUGUUGCGAUUUUUGUAUGUUUAGUCUUUCUUAUAAUCGUGCACGCACGUUAAUCGCCAUUGCGGUGGACUGUGUUGGUAUUUUAUACUCAUGAAGUAGUCAGUCUGGUGACAUUUCGUUUCUAAGGCAAAAUUUUAUUUCGUUGGUAAA